UACGUAGGUGGCAAGCGUUGUUCGGAAUUAUUGGGCGUAAAGGGCGCGUAGGCGGUUUGUUAAGUCGGCUGUGAAAGCCCGGGGCUCAACCCCGGAGGGUCAGCCGAUACUGGCAGACUAGAGUACGGAAGAGGUAGCUGGAAUUCCCGGUGUAGCGGUGAAAUGCGUAGAUAUCUGGAGGAAUACCGGUGGCGAAGGCGGCAUCCUGGACCGAGAUUGACACUGAUGAGCGAAAGCUAGGGGAGCAAACGGG
rnacentral:rRNA from 1 species